rnacentral:rRNA from 2 species
UUUAUAUGAGAGUUUGAUCCUGGCUCAGGAUGAACGCUGGCGGCGUGCCUAAUACAUGCAAGUCGAACGAGUUCUCGUUGAUGAUUGGUGCUUGCACCGAGAUUCAACAUGGAACGAGUGGCGGACGGGUGAGUAACACGUGGGUAACCUGCCCUUAAGUGGGGGAUAACAUUUGGAAACAGAUGCUAAUACCGCAUAGAUCCAAGAACCGCAUGGUUCUUGGCUGAAAGAUGGCGUAAGCUAUCGCUUUUGGAUGGACCCGCGGCGUAUUAGCUAGUUGGUGAGGUAAUGGCUCACCAAGGCGAUGAUACGUAGCCGAACU